AUUGAACGCUGGCGGCAGGCCUAACACAUGCAAGUCGAGCGAGCGGCGGACGGGUGAGUAAUGUCUGGGAAACUGCCUGAGGGAGGGGGAUAACUACUGGAAACGGUAGAUAAUACCGCAUACCAUCAGAUGUGCCCAGAUGGGAUUAGCUAGUAGGUGGGGUAAUGGCUCACCUAGGCGACGAGCCCUAGCUGGUCUGAGAGGAUGACCAGCCACACUGUAACUGAGCCACGCUCCCUACUCCUACGGGAGGCAGCAGUGGGGAAUAUUUCACAAUGGGCGCAAGCCUGAUGCAGCCAUUCCGCGGGUGGUAAGAAGGCCUUCGGGUUGUAGAGCACUUUCAGCGGGGAGGCGUUACCCGCAGAAGAAGCACCGGCUAACUCCGUGCCAGCAGCCGCGGUAAUUC
rnacentral:rRNA from 1 species